GGGAUUGCCCUAGUAACGGCGAGUGAAGCGGCAACAGCUCAAAUUUGAAAUCUGGCUCUUUCAGGGUCCGAGUUGUAAUUUGCAGAGGGCGCUUUGGUGUCGGCAGCGGUCCAAGUUCCUUGGAACAGGACGUCACAGAGGGUGAGAAUCCCGUACGUGGUCGCUAGCCUUCGCCGUGUAAAGCCCCUUCGACGAGUCGAGUUGUUUGGGAAUGCAGCUCUAAAUGGGAGGUAAAUUUCUUCUAAAGCUAAAUACUGGCCAGAGACCGAUAGCGCACAAGUAGAGUGAUCGAAAGAUGAAAAGCACUUUGGAAAGAGAGUCAAAUAGCACGUGAAAUUGUUGAAAGGGAAGCGCUUGCAGCCAGACUUGCCUGUAGUUGCUUAUCCGGACUUUUGUCCGGUGCACUCUUCUGCGGGCAGGCCAGCAUCAGUUUGGGCGGUUGGAUAAAGGUCUCUGUCAUGUACCUCUCUUCGGGGAGAACUUAUAGGGGAGACGACAUGCAACCAGCCUGGACUGAGGUCCGCGCAUCUGCUAGGAUGCUGGCGUAAUGGCUGUAAGCGGCCCGUCUUGAAACACGGACCAAGGAGUCUAACAUCUAUGCGAGUGUUUGGGUGUCAAGCCCAAGCGCGUAAUGAAAGUGAACGGAGGUGGGAACCCUUUGGGUGCACCAUCGACCGAUCCUGAUGUCUUCGGAAGGAUUUGAGUAAGAGCAUGGCUGUUGGGACCCGAAAGAUGGUGAACUAUGCUUGAAUAGGGUGAAGCCAGAGGAAACUCUGGUGGAGGCUCGCAGCGGUUCUGACGUGCAAAUCGAUCGUCAAAUUUGGGCAUAGGGGCG
rnacentral:rRNA from 1 species